AGAGAGAGACAUGCGCGCAUAUCAAUAAGCGGAGGAAAAGAAACUAACAAGGAUUCCCUUAGUAACGGCGAGUGAAGCGGGAAGAGCUCAAAUUUGAAAUCUUCAAGGUUCUACCUUGACGAAUUGUAGUUUAAAGAAGUGUUUUCUGUUGAAGUUUUGGUAAAAGUUCUUUGGAAUAGGACAUCAUAGAGGGUGAGAAUCCCGUAUUUGACCAUUAUUUUCAGCUUUGUGAUACACUUUCAAAGAGUCGGAUUGUUUGGGAAUGCAGUCCAAAAUGGGUGGUAAAUUUCAUCUAAAGCUAAAUAUUGGCGAGAGACCGAUAGCGAACAAGUACCGUGAGGGAAAGAUGAAAAGAACUUUGAAAAGAGAGUUAAACAGUACGUGAAAUUGUCAAAAGGGAAGCGUUUGACACCAGUGUUGUUUUCUCGAAAAUCAAUUAAAAAUGGCUCGAUUUUGUAUUGCUUGAGACCUUAAAAGCUCACUGUACAUUUUUCGUGUCUUUUUUAAUGCACUUUUCGUUUAACAAGUCAACAUCAGUUUCUUUUGUUGUAAAAGGAGUCAUUGGAAGGUGGCUUUCUUUUCGGAGAAAGUGUUUAUAGCCUUUGGCCUCUGCAAUCGGAAGAGACUGAGGUCUGCAGCGUAGACUCUUCGGGGUUAGAUACAUUUGUGCUAAGUUAUAGCUUUUUAUAGACAACUUGUUGACUAUAAUUAGUCUUGUAGCUUACUCGCUUAUGCUAUUUUACCUACGCUUAGGAUGUUGAAGUCAUCGUAUCGCGC
rnacentral:rRNA from 1 species